rnacentral:rRNA from 1 species
GAUGAACGCUAGCGAUAGGCUUAACACAUGCAAGUCGAGGGGCAGCACAAGGUAGCUUGCUAUCUGGGUGGCGACCGGCGCACGGGUGCGUAACGCGUAUGCAACUUGCCCUAUACAGGAGGAUAACCCGUCGAAAGACGGACUAAUACUGCGUAUGCUCACAACUUGGCAUCAAGUGGUGAGGAAAGAAAUUCGGUAUAGGAUAGGCAUGCGUCCCAUUAGCUUGUUGGUGAGGUAACGGCUCACCAAGGCAACGAUGGGUAGGGGAACUGAGAGGUUUAUCCCCCACACUGGUACUGAGACACGGACCAGACUCCUACGGGAGGCAGCAGUGAGGAAUACUGGUCAAUGGGCGCGAGCCUGAACCAGCCAAGUCGCGUGAAGGAUGACUGUCUUAUGGAUUGUAAACUUCUUUUAUACGGGAAUAACAAGAGUCACGUGUGACUCCCUGCAUGUACCGUAUGAAUAAGCAUCGGCUAACUCCGUG